GGACUAGCUCAGUGGUAGAGCUUGUGCUUAGCAUGCACAAGGUCCUGGGUUCGAUCUCCUGUACCUCCA
rnacentral:tRNA from 1 species